GUUGCCCAGGCUGAAAAGCUACAAUGCCUUUUUUUUUUUUUUUUUGCACUCUUGCCCAGUCUAGAGUGCAGUGGCAUGUGCCACCACGCCUGGCUAACUUUUGUAUUUUUAGUAGAGAUGGGGUCUUGCCAUGUUGGCAAGGCUGGCCUCAAACUCCUGGCCUCAAGUGAUCCACCUGUCUCGGCCUCCCAAAUAGCUGGGACCACAGGCAUGUGCCACCAUGCCCAGCUAAUUUUUAAUAUUACUGUUUUAAAAUACAUGUAAUUGUAUUGAGUCUAUCUUCUCUAAGGACAAAGGUUUACUCAGCAACUAUUAAC
rnacentral:lncRNA from 1 species